GUGUAAACAUGUGUAUAAAACAAUCAUGGUAAUUCCGAAAAUAAAUUAGCAAGUUGUAUUGAACCUACAAUCGCAGGUAUAUAUAAAACAAGUAUUAUUCAAAAAAUUUCAGUACUCGACCAAUUUUAAAACAGACUUAGUAAACAUGUUGCGCUCGAUAUUUAUUUUACUUGCCAUACUUGCGUUAACGUACGCUAUACCUUAUCCUCAACCUAAAGCGCUCGCACUUCUGGACGUCGCGGAGUCUGCAAAUCCUCACUAUCAUCAUCACCACCACCAUGGUCAUCACCAUCACCAUGGAUGGGGCGGCGGUUGGGGAGGCCAUCAUGGAGGCUGGGGAGGCCACCAUCACCACCAUUGGUAGUAGAAUGUGUUAAAAUUAAGUUAUGUGAUGUAAUUAACUUUCGUACAAAUGUCCGCUAACUUUGUGUCUACGUAUAGUGUUCGUCUUACUACAUAGAUAUGUUUAAGUUAUUUUGAUUUAAUAGUGUCUUCACGAUGAGGCAUUGUAAUAAGUUAACAACAAUAACAAAUAAAUUCCAAAAACUCAAAA